CUAUGCUGCAUCUUUGACAUUGCAAAAACUUGCAUUGUUUGGUUUUGACAUGAUUUUAAUUCAGCAAUCAACUGUCUUGGGGAGCGGUUUACUCAGUACAGCAAAUGAAGGAGAUAUAGAUCCAAUAACCAAAUAUGGCUGAGAGAGAGACAGCACAAGCAAGGGGAAUAGCAGGC